rnacentral:ncRNA from 1 species
UAUCUUCAGGGCGGGGUGCAAGUCCCCACCGGCAGUACAGUCUGCGAACGCUUCGUGAGGAGCGCCGAAACGGUGAAAUUCCGUUACCGACGGUUAUAGUCCGGAUGAAAGAAGA